rnacentral:rRNA from 4 species
UUUAAAGAGAGUUUGAUCCUGGCUCAGGACGAACGCUGGCGGCGUGCCUAAUACAUGCAAGUCGAACGAACGGAGGAAGAGCUUGCUCUUCCAAAGUUAGUGGCGGACGGGUGAGUAACACGUGGGCAACCUGCCUGUAAGUUGGGGAUAACUCCGGGAAACCGGGGCUAAUACCGAAUGAUAGA